CAGCCGCCGCGGUAAUACCAGCACCUCAAGUGGUCAGGAUGAUUAUUGGGCCUAAAGCAUCCGUAGCCGGCUCUGUUAGUUUUCGGUUAAAUCUGUACGCUCAACGUACAGGCUGCCGGGAAUACUGCAGAGCUAGGGAGUGGGAGAGGUAGGCGGUACUCGGUAGGAAGGGGUAAAAUCCUUUGAUCUAUUGAUGACCACCUGUGGCGAAGGCGGUCUACCAGAACACGUCCGACGGUGAGGGAUGAAAGCUGGGGGAGCAAACCGGAUUAGAUACCCGGGUAGUCCCAGCUGUAAACCAUGCAAACUCAGUGAUGCAUUGGCUUGUGGCCAAUGCAGUGCUGCAGGGAAGCCGUUAAGUUUGCCGCCUGGGAAGUACGUACGCAAGUAUGAAACUUAAAGGAAUUGGCGGGGGAGCACCACAAGGGGUGAAGCCUGCGGUUCAAUUGGAGUCAACGCCAGAAAUCUUACCCGGAGAGACAGCAGAAUGAAGGUCAAGCUGAAGACUUUACCAGACAAGCUGAGAGGUGGUGCAUGGCCGUCGCCAGCUCGUGCCGUGAGAUGUCCUGUUAAGUCAGGUAACGAGCGAGAUCCCUGCCUCUAGUUGCCACCAUUACUCUCAGGAGUAGUGGGGCGAAUUAGCGGGACCGCCGCAGUUAAUGCGGAGGAAGGAAGGGGCCACGGCAGGUCAGUAUGCCCCGAAACUCUGGGGCCACACGCGGGCUGCAAUGGUAACGACAAUGGGUUCCAAACCCGAAAGGAAGAGGUAAUCCUCAAACGUUACCACAGUUAUGACUGAGGGCUGCAACUCGCCCUCACGAAUAUGGAAUCCCUAGUAACUGCGUGUCAUAAUCGCGCGGUGAAUACGUCCCUGCUCCUUGCACACACCGCCCGUCGUUUCAUUGAAGUGAGCCUUUAGCGAGGUGACGUCUGAUUGGCGUUAUCGAACUUGAGGUUCGUGACAAGGGAAAAGUCGUAACAAGGUAACCGUA
rnacentral:rRNA from 1 species